rnacentral:sRNA from 1 species
CUCAUUUCCUCCCAGCCUCGUGCGGGAAAUGGCUUUAAUUCUGACGGCAGGGCUGUGAGGGACUAGCGGGAACCCGAGCCUUUUGUCAAGGAACUGCGGCGUCGGUGGCCAGUCAUCCCCGCCGCCGCGGAGCCGCUGCACUGCUGGGGGAUCUCCCAGCAGCUCUGACGAGCGCGGGCUGCAGCAUGGGCAGAAAACGCUGCUCUGCAGAUUAGCUGGGUGGAUUUUUUAAGCGCACCCCACCCCCCAAACCCAUAAAAUAACAAAACCAACCCGCAGUGGCCGACCGGAGAUAACUAAGAUGCCGCGCAGGAGUUUCCAUCUGGAUGUUUGAGGUUGUGUAGAUGUGGCUGGCACCCUUGAGAGUGGAGCUGGGGGGUGCAGACUGAGCAGUGAACAGGAGCCUUGGACAGGGCUGGGCCAGCCUCCCGGAAUUCCAAAGGUUUUUGAAACUGUGCCAGGAACCAGGGACAAAGAUGAGAUAUAGUCUUUCUUAUAUCACACCUGGCUCAUCACACGCUGGCCUCCUCUGAUCUUUAGCAUCCUGGGUUCCAGGAGCGGAUUGCAAACCCACCGG